AUUGAACGCUGGCGGCAGGCCUAACACAUGCAAGUCGAACGGUAACAGGAAGAAGCUUGCUUCUUUGCUGACGAGUGGCGGACGGGUGAGUAAUGUCUGGGAAACUGCCUGAUGGAGGGGGAUAACUACUGGAAACGGUAGCUAAUACCGCAUAACGUCGCAAGACCAAAGAGGGGGACCUUCGGGCCUCUUGCCAUCGGAUGUGCCCAGAUGGGAUUAGCUAGUAGGUGGGGUAACGGCUCACCUAGGCGACGAUCCCUAGCUGGUCUGAGAGGAUGACCAGCCACACUGGAACUGAGACACGGGCCAGACUCCUACGGGAGGCAGCAGUGGGGAAUAUUGCACAAUGGGCGCAAGCCUGAUGCAGCCAUGCCGCGUGUAUGAAGAAGGCCUUCGGGUUGUAAAGUACUUUCAGCGGGGAGGAAGGGAGUAAAGUUAAUACCUUUGCUCAUUGACGUUACCCGCAGAAGAAGCACCGGCUAACUCCGU
rnacentral:rRNA from 1 species